rnacentral:rRNA from 1 species
UGAGGAAUUUUCGGCAAUGGAGGCAACUCUGACCGAGCAACGCCGCGUGCAGGAUGACGGCCUUCGGGUUGUAAACUGCUUUUCUCUGGGACGAGCAAGGACGGUACCAGAGGAACAAGCCCCGGCUAACUACGUGCCAGCAGCCGCGGUAAUACGUAGGGGGCGAGCGUUGUCCGGAUUUAUUGGGCGUAAAGCGCAUGCAGGCGGUCCUGUAAGUUUGAAGUGACAGUUUCCGGCUCAACCGGGAAAGUGCUUUGAAAACUGCGGGACUUGAGGGCUUCAGAGGGACACGGAAUUCCGGGUGGAGUGGUGAAAUGCGUAGAUAUCCGGAGGAACACCGAAGGCGAAGGCAGUGUCCUGGGGAGUACCUGACGCUCAGAUGCGAAAGCCAGGGGAGCGAACGGGAUUAGAUACCCCCGUAGUCC